AUGGGGGCCCCUGGACACUGGGGGCCCGGGGCGGCCGCCCCUCCUGCCCCCCCCUUAGGGCCGGCCCUGACUCCAGUGAAUGCUUCAAGGAUGGACAUAUCCUGGAGUGCAGAUGCAUCCAUGGGUGUUGGUGUUGACACCAAGUACUCUCUUGCACUAUACUUUGCUGAACUAGAGGCUGUCCAAGGGUUGAGGCAAUUUGAUGUAUCCGUGGACAACAACCAAUUAGUUGCUGCAUUCAGUCCAACCUACUUGCUUGCUAAUGUUAUCCCAGCGAUUGUGCAAGGCUCAGGCGAGCACAGCAUCUCCCUCCUGGCAACAUCAAAAUCUGUGCUCCCGCCUUUGAUCAACGCUAUGGAGAUAUUCAUGGUGUGGCCCCUGAAUGAAUCUACUACUGCAUCUUUAGAUGCCAAUGCUAUGGUGGCAAUCCAGACGAAGUUUAAGGUGAAGAGAAACUGGGUGGGUGAUCCGUGUGCCCCAAUAUCUUUUGCAUGGUAUGGCUUGGAUUGCAGUUACACUCCCGAUGGUCCGCCAAGAAUAAUUGCCAUAAACUUGUCAUCCAGCGGGUUGGUUGGUGAAAUAGAUGCUUCCUUUGGCCAGCUAACAUUGCUCCAACGCUUGGAUCUAUCUCAUAACAAUCUAUCGGGAACAAUACCUUAUUUUCUGGGUCAAGUGCCAUCACUUACAUUUCUGGAUUUGUCAAGCAACGACCUCAAUGGACCAAUUCCUAUGAACCUGCUAGAAAAAUCUCAGGACGGAUUUCUGACACUGAGGAUCGACAAUAACCCAAACCUAUGUGGAAGUCCUCCUUGCAACACGUUUCCAAACAAAAAGAAGAAACCAAAAUCUAUACUCCAGAUUGUUGUUCCUGUAAUUGGCGCUCUACUUCUUGUGGCUCUGCUUGCGCUUGUCGUUUGGUCUAGAAGGAAGAAGAGACCAGAUGUGCCUCGUUCCGCUAAUCAGUUCGAGAACUGGAGCUUCAAGUCCAAGGAACUCAAGAUCAUUACCAAUAACUUCAACACCUGUGUAUUUUGGUCCUGUGUAUUUUGGCUGUUUGGAGAAUGGAACUCCUGUUGCAGUGAAGAUGCUGUCAGAGACAUCUUCACAAGGGAUAGAAAACAUCUAAGCCUAGUCUAUGAGUACAUGGAUGGAGGAAACCUGCAGGACCGGCUCAGAGGUCAAGAAUCCCCUAACUGGCUGCAACGCCUUAAGAUCGCAUUGGACUCUGCCUACGGACUGGAAUACCUGCACAAAUCCUGCAGCCCACCCUUGAUUCAUAGAGACGUGAAGACUGGGAAUAUCCUACUUACUUCAAAUCUGGAGGCAAAAUUAUCGGAUUUUGGCCUUACAAGGGCUUUCAGCAGUGGUACGAGAACACACACAACCACCCAACCAGCUGGUACCCUAGGUUACCUGGACCCAGAGUACUACGCGACCUCUCAUCUGAGCGAGAAGAGUGACGUGUACAGCUUUGGUGUCGUUCUCCUGGUGCUCAUCACAGGCCAGCCAGCCAUCAUCAUCAUCAGCGACACAGAGAGAACCAACAUCUCUCAUUGGGCACGCCACAGGCUCUCUGAAGGUGACAUCGACAGCGUGACCGACCCGACGAUAAGAGGAGACCGCGACAUCAACUCUGUGUGGAAGGUGGCGGAGCUGGCCCUGCGGUGCACGGAGCACACGGGGCGGGACCGGCCAACGAUGGUGGAGGUCGUGGAGGGGAUCAAAGAGAGCUUGCAGCUGGAGACCUCUUCGCGCUCCAGGAGAUGCAGCUCGGAUGGAACAGGCGGUUUGGAGUUUUCGGACUGCGAGACUGUUGACUGGCUGAUGUACCGCUUCCUGCCCAAAGCAGGGCAGCUCCAUGCUCUGUUUCAUCCCCGGUCAAGCUGGAACUGCUGGAAGCAGUCAUGA
rnacentral:rRNA from 1 species